AUGGCGCGGACGACCUCAGGCGCCCGACGGCGGCCGAGCCGGGGAGUCGGCGCUGUGUCCUGUGGGGCGGCGGUUACCCGGGUGGCGUUCGGACCGCUGUUGUGUGGCUGCGCUGGCACUGCAGGGAGAGCCCGUCGUGGAGCGCUAGGAGCUGGGCAGUCUCUGGAGCUUCCGCGCCGACUUCUCCGACAACUGACUCGAGUUUCGAGGAGCAGUGAUACGGGCGGCCGCUGCGGGAGUCGGGCCCCACCUGGGACACGCCGGUUCCCUCCAGCUUCAACGACAUUGGCCAGGACUGGCGGCUAUGGCAUUUUGUCAACUGGGUGUGGUACGAACAGGAGGUGACCCUGCUGGAGCGAUGGAUCCAGGACCUGCGCACAGGAGUGGUGCUGAUUGGCAGUGCCCACUCCUAUGCCAUCGUGUGGGUGAAUGGGGUCAACGUGCUAGAGCAUGAAGGGGGCUACCUCCCCUUCGAGGCCAACAUCAGCAGCCUGUUUCAGGUGGGGCCCCUGCCCUCCCACCUCUGCAUCACUAUCGCCAUCCACAACAUGCUCACCCCCCGACCCUGCCACCAGGGACCAUCUGUACAUGACCGACACCUCCAAGUAUCCCAAGGGUUAGUCUGUCCAGAACACAGACUUUGACUUCUUCAACUACGCGGGACUGCAGUGGUCUGUGCUUCUGUAUUCGACACCCACCACCUACAUCGAUGACAUCACCGUCACCACCGGCAUGGAGCGAGACAGUGGGCUGGUGAAUUACCAGAUCUCUGUCAAGUGCAGUAACCAGUUCAAGUUGGAAGUGUGUCUUUUGGAUGCAGAAAACAAAGUCGUGGACAACCAGGCUGGGACCGAGGGCCAGCUGAAGGCGCCGGAUACCAACCUCUGGUGGCUGUACCUGAUGCACGAACACCCCGCCUACUUGUGCUCAUGGGAGGUGCGGCUGACUGCACAGACGUCACUGGGGCCUUUUUCUGACGUCUACACACUCCCUGUGGGGAUCCGCACUGUGCCCGUCACCGAGAGCCAGUUCCUCAUCAGUUGGAAACCUUUCUAUUUCCACAGCGUCAACAAACAUGAGGAUGCAGACGUGCAUUGGGGCUCCUGGGUCCUCGUGGGGCUGCUUCUGGUCACCUUCCACUUUCGCCUUCCCUGUGUCCUGCAGUUGAGGGCAGCUCAGGGCAAUGAGGCAAAUGGCUCCAAACCACCCCGCAGUGGAGCCGGUGCUUGGGCUGGAGAGGGGGCUCAUGGGGUGGCUCUCCAGGGUCGUGGCUCUCGGAGGAAGUGCAGCUUCGACAGGGACAGGGGUCACUUGGCUCUGCUGUCCCCUAGAUCCAAGGGAAGGGCUUCGACUGUCCGCUGCUGGUGAAGGACUUCAACCUGCUUUGCUGGCUUGGCACCAAUGCCUUCCGCACCAGCCACUAUCCCUACGAGGAGGAGAUGCUGCAGAUAUGUGACCGGUAUGGGAUUGUGGUCAUCGAUGAGUGUCCUGCUGUGGGCCUGAUGCUGCCAUGAGUCCCUGUCGCGCAUCCGCUCUGCCUGGGCAGCCCGCGGGCCACACUGUGACCCUCUGUCCCUUCCCUCCUGGCCCGCUGGCAGCUCUUCAACAACGUGUCUAUGCAUCACCACAUGUGGGUGGUGGAGAAACCGGUUCUCAGAGACAAGAAUCACCCUGCCAUGGUGAUGUAGUCUGUGGCCAACGAGCCUGCAUCCUACCUGGAAUCUGUUGGCUACUG